rnacentral:rRNA from 1 species
GUGGGGAAUCUUGCGCAAUGGGCGAAAGCCUGACGCAGCCAUGCCGCGUGAAUGAUGAAGGUCUUAGGAUUGUAAAAUUCUUUCACCGGGGACGAUAAUGACGGUACCCGGAGAAGAAGCCCCGGCUAACUUCGUGCCAGCAGCCGCGGUAAUACGAAGGGGGCUAGCGUUGCUCGGAAUUACUGGGCGUCAAGGGCGCGUAGGCGGACAGUUUAGUCAGAGGUGAAAGCCCAGGGCUCAACCUUGGGAUUGCCUUUGAUACUGGCUGUCUUGAGUACUGGAGAGGUGAGUGGAACUCCGAGUGUAGAGGUGAAAUUCGUAGAUAUUCGGAAGAACACCAGUGGCGAAGGCGACUCACUGGCCCGUUACUGACGCUGAGGCGCGAAAGCGUGGGGAGCAAACAGGAUUAGAUACCCCUGUAGUCC